UGGCUAUUAGUAAAGCAAGCCUGUCUGC
rnacentral:piRNA from 1 species